GAUGAACGCUGGCGGCGUGCCUAAUACAUGCAAGUCGAGCGAACAGACGAGGAGCUUGCUCCUCUGACGUUAGCGGCGGACGGGUGAGUAACACGUGGAUAACCUACCUAUAAGACUGGGAUAACUUCGGGAAACCGGAGCUAAUACCGGAUAAUAUAUUGCACCGCAUGGUUCAAUAGUGAAAGACGGUUUUGCUGUCACUUAUAGAUGGAUCCGCGCCGCAUUAGCUAGUUGGUAAGGUAACGGCUUACCAAGGCGACGAUGCGUAGCCGACCUGAGGGGGUGAGCGGCCACACUGGAACGGAGACACGGUCCAGACGCCUACGGGAGGCAGCAGGAGGGAAUCUUCCGCAAUGGGCGAAAGCUUGACGGAGCAACGCCGCGUGAGUGAUGAAGGUCUUCGGAUCGUAAAACUCUGUUAUUAGGGAAGAACAAAUGUGUAAGUAACUAUGCACGUCUUGACGGUACCUAAUCAGAGAGCCACGGCUAACUACGUG
rnacentral:rRNA from 1 species